rnacentral:rRNA from 1 species
GAUGAACGCUAGCGGCAGGCCUAACACAUGCAAGUCGAGGGGCAUCGGGAUUGAAGCUUGCUUCAAUUGCCGGCGACCGGCGCACGGGUGCGUAACGCGUAUGUAACCUACCUAUAACAGGGGCAUAACACUGAGAAAUUGGUACUAAUUCCCCAUAAUAUUCGGAGAGGCAUCUCUCCGGGUUGAAAACUCCGGUGGUUAUAGAUGGACAUGCGUUGUAUUAGCUAGUUGGUGAGGUAACGGCUCACCAAGGCAACGAUACAUAGGGGGACUGAGAGGUUAACCCCCCACACUGGUACUGAGACACGGACCAGACUCCUACGGGAGGCAGCAGUGAGGAAUAUUGGUCAAUGGACGCAAGUCUGAACCAGCCAUGCCGCGUGCAGGAAGACGGCUCUAUGAGUUGUAAACUGCUUUUGUACGAGGGUAAACUCACCUACGUGUAGGUGACUGAAAGUAUCGUACGAAUAAGGAUCGGCUA